rnacentral:rRNA from 1 species
UAGCUUUGUAGUUUAUGUAAAAUUUUUGUAUGUGGAGCAAAGGAAUUUAGAGGCUUUAGUUUUGUAUUUUUUAUUUUUUAGUAUUGCAUACUAUUAAAGGAGAUUUUUAUUGGUGAUGAAUAAUAGAGAUAAGAGGUGGAGAAAUUUUUGAUUUUAUUAUUGUAUAAUAAAAGUUAUUGUUUUUUGUUUUGAUAUGACGUCUUUUAUUGUAUCUGUGUUUUUAUUUGUUUUUAGAAAAUUGUAAUUUUUUUUUGGUUUUUGAGGGAUUCUAGGAUUUGGAGUUUUUUGUUUUUUAGUGUUAUGACUUUUCCUUUGUUUUGUUUUGUAUUGUUGAAUUUGUGUUAUUAAUAUUUUAAUAUCUUAUUAAUUUUUGAUUUAGUAUAUUUUUAGAAUUGUGUUUAAUGUUGGUGAUUUAGAUUUAAUAACUGGUUUUAUAAUCAAAUGUUUAUUAAAGACUUAGAUACUAAUUUGGUGUUGUCCUCUGCUCUAUGAUUUUUUAAAUGGCCGCCUUAGCGUGAGGGCAUGAAAGUAGCAAAAUAAUUUGUGUUUUUAAUGGAUUCGAGUAUGAAAGGGGGUUUGGUUAUUUUUGUUUUGUUUUUAUUUUGAAUUAUUGUGAUGUUUAAUAAUUAAUAUUUGUAUUUAAACAAAGAUAAGUCUUCGGAAAUUCUGUUAAUUGUAUGAAAUUUGGGUUUUAUAGUUGAGUUGUUUAGGGCAAGUUUUUGUAUAAAGGGUUUUACUAGCUUUAUGGGAAAGAGUUACUUCGGAGUUAACAGAAAAUCACAUUUUUUCUAGAUGUUAUAGAUGAAAGGGUUUUACAUCGAUGUUGUAUUCUGGUUGGUUGGAGGAGUAGCAAUUU